UACAGAGGGUGCGAGCGUUGUCCGGAAUCACUGGGCGUAAAGGGCGCGUAGGCGGCCUGGUAAGUCGAUGGUGAAAGCCCGAGGCUCAACUUCGGGUCGGCCACUGAUACUGCUGGGCUUGAGUCGACUAGAGGCAGAUGGAAUUCCGGGUGUAGCGGUGGAAUGCGUAGAGAUCCGGAAGAACACCGGUGGCGAAGGCGGUCUGCUGGGGUCGAACUGACGCUGAGGCGCGACAGCGUGGGGGGCAAACAGG
rnacentral:rRNA from 1 species